rnacentral:rRNA from 1 species
CCCCUAGAUGUUCUGGGCCGCACGCGCGCUACACUGAACAGUUCAACAAGUCUUAACCUUGGCCGAUAGGUCUGGGUAAUCUUUGAACGCUGUUCGUGAUUGGGAUAGACCUUUGCAAUUAUGGGUCUUCAACGAGGAAUUCCUAGUAAACGCAAGUCAUCAGCUUGCAUUGAUUAAGUCCCUGCCCUUUGUACACACCGCCCGUCGCACCUACCGAUUGAAUGGUCCGGUGAAAUCUCGGGACGGCGGCUUGGUCGCUUGCGUCCGACUGCUGAAACUUGAUUAAACCAUAUCAUUUAGAGGAAGGUGAAGUCGUANCA